rnacentral:lncRNA from 1 species
GCUACAGUGUCCUCACAAGCAGGGACUGAAUUAUGACUCGUGGAAAUCCCCUCUGUACCAAGGAAUCAGGUAGCUUUCAAACUCCCAACAAUUAAUGGCUCUUUUGGUCAAAGGAGAACAUGAGGCAGGGAGGCGUUGGAGGAGGGGAGAGCAGCAAGCAGCGCUCUGGGUCUCCGAACAGGCUGUUCAGUUUCUAGUAAAUUAGAAGGGGUGGAUGGUGGAGGUACCAGUAAUGUUACCCUGUAGAAUGCGGUCUCCUUUGACGUCAGUGAGAUGCUUCUCUCCCUUUCUCCUUUUGCCCUCCUUCCUCUCUCCUUUCCCUUCCUGUGUCCCUCCCUCCUCCCAACAUCUUUACACGUCACAGAGUCAUGCUGAAAACAGCUCUGAGUUUUACAACACAGCUUCCAGACGCAGAAGAUCCCCCCACCCCCACCCCCCACCCCACCCUGACAACACUGCAGGGCAGAAUGCAGGCUGUAGUGGGAGGCAGACAAAAAAUAAAAAUGUUCAUGUGACUCAAAGCAGGAAGCAGGACACAUUGCUGGGAGGAGGCGUCACCACCACAGGCUGUGCAUUCCUGCCUUGCCUGGCCAGGUUAGCCAUCCCCUCCAAGGGAGCAUUCCUCUGUGGCAAGAACACACACUGGUCUCAGACAAUCCUGAAAUAGAAUCUUGACGAGCAUGCGCCCUGCUUACUGCAUCACCAACCUAAGGAUUGACUGAAGCCCAGGGAGAUGACCUCACUACCCAUCACCAGAAGAGACUCUCAAACCCAGCUGCCCCUUCAGAGCUGACUCCUGGCAU